CGUGCAGGCAGAGGGUCAAGCCGUUUGUCCAUGGCUAUAGCAGGAGCAAGGGUGUUGAAUCCAGGAGCCGCUCAGCCCCUGCCUGGGAGGCUGUCUCUGUUCUGUUCAGUUGCCCACACGCCGUCAAAGCCAAGAGAGAGGCGGGGGAACUGGCUGCGAGCAUGUAUUCCACAAUGACAGAUUUCAACACAAGCAUGGACAGCAAGACCUCUCUCCAUGGAACCUUGGGAGCCCUGAGAACCCAGGAAUGACAUCCCUCUGCGUCCGUUGGGCGUACCCACUCCCCUGCGGAACCCUGCACAGCCUGCUCUGUCCGCAGUCAAAGCUGUUUGUGCCGGGUCUCCCCAACAGCCUGGUGAAACUGGAUUUAUAACACUCAUGGUGCAUCAGGGAAAAGAAGCCAACACCCGUGCCUUGGGACUCUGGGUGCUUGGCAGCCUGGGACCCGGCCUACGUCAGGUGGGGUCUCGGAGCCUGGAUGUCUUGGUUGGCUUCCGUCGCUGCUGCAUUCAUGACGCCCAGCACGAUACGGCCCUGGAUGCAUAAAUCAGUAAUACUGGUGCCUGCCCAGCCUGUGUGAUAGAUAGCCAGGAUAUAAUGAACACAG